rnacentral:miRNA from 1 species
GGUUCCGUCAGGACGACGAAGGAA